rnacentral:tRNA from 1 species
GGGGAUGUGGCUCAAGUGGUAGAGCGCUCGCCUGGCAUGCGUGCAGCCUGGGUUCGAGCCUCAGCACCA